rnacentral:lncRNA from 1 species
AUUGCCUCCUUGCCAAAACAUCAGCGGGUAAUGUAACGCGUCAUAUGAACGGUGUGUUUCAUAUAUUCUUUGUAGUUGCCCAGUAUUGCGUCGUGUAAGUACAAAAUCACGUGUUUCCAAGUUUUCACCAACAAUCAGGAUUGCCACUUCAUCGAUUGUUGGAGCAUUAAAUGUGCGCUCAUGUGUUCCAGCUGGUCUUUUAUCUGCUCUGAUCACAACUUUAUCUCAUCACUUGGCAUGCGCUCUAAAGCAGUCUUGAACAGCCUGACCAAUGCAUGAUGUUCAUGAAGCAUUUGCUGCAGAUCUUGGAGCAAUAAUCCAAUGCGAUGGUAAAUCUGGCCUUGAAUAUGUAAAGUCAAAACCAUAGUUAUAGUUAGACUUUCUUUUAUAUAUAUAGAUAAGAUUACCUUAAAUGUCGCAUUAUAUCUGUGUUCUUCGAUCAUUUCCGCUCCAAAUGAAGUCAUUUGGAAACAGACAUUGUAUUUUUGAGUGUUCGCUAGAAAAUGUAGUGAUUCAAGUGUUUCGAAAUAUAGCAGGGAGCUCAAUGGCUCUGGUGGCGGGACCAAUAAUGGCAAUUUCACUUUACCACUAAGGCAGCACAAACCAGGCGUUUCACCAGCAAACUUCAAUGCUCCACAAUGCUGGCAAACAACGUCCAUUGGACCAAUGCAGACUAAACGAUGCAAGCUGUAGUCGAUGGUGCUAUCAUACAGAAACGCUGCUCGAUUCAAACCAUUUCUUCUUGCACUUCGAAGAUUAUUCAUCUGUUCUUCUUAAUUAAGGCCCUUCUUUGCUCCAUAUUAACGCGGCGCUGUUCUCGUGUUUCAGAGCUAUUCCGUUGCCUAAUUGCAUUACGGCUUCGCUGGGAAAGAUUGGAUCUUCUAGGACGCGGCAUUGUUAUUAAAAUGAUUAAUACAAAAUUAAACAAAUAAAUAAAACAAAUAUUAAAUAUGAUUAAAUAAAUACAAAUG